AUUGAACGCUGGCGGCAGGCCUAACACAUGCAAGUCGAACGGCAGCACAGAAGAGCUUGCUCCUUGGGUGGCGAGUGGCGGACGGGUGAGUAAUGUCUGGGAAACUGCCCGAUGGAGGGGGAUAACUACUGGAAACGGUAGCUAAUACCGCAUAACGUCGCGAGACCAAAGUGGGGGACCUUCGGGCCUCACACCAUCGGAUGUGCCCAGAUGGGAUUAGCUAGUAGGUGGGGUAAUGGCUCACCUAGGCGACGAUCCCUAGCUGGUCUGAGAGGAUGACCAGCCAAACUGGAACUGAGACACGGUCCAGACUCCUACGGGAGGCAGCAGUGGGGAAUAUUGCACAAUGGGCGCAAGCCUGAUGCAGCCAUGCCGCGUGUAUGAGGAAGGCCUUCGGGUUGUAAAGUACUUUCAGCGGGGAGGAAGGCGGUGAGGUUAAUAACCUCGCCGAUUGACGUUACCCGCAGAAGAAGCACCGGCUAACUCCGUGCCAGCAGCCGCGGUAA
rnacentral:rRNA from 1 species